AAUUACAUCUUAUCCGCCUGGGUACUACGAGCUCUAGCUUAAAAUCCAAAGGACUUGGCGGUGUUUAGACCCACCUAGAGGAGCCUGUUCUAGAACCGACAACCCCCGUUCAACCUCACCCUCCCUUGUUUAUCCCGCCUAUAUACCGCCGUCGUCAGCUUACCCUGUGAAGGACUAAUAGUAAGCAAAACUAGUAUAACUUAAAACGCCAGGUCGAGGUGUAGCGCAUGGGAGGGGAAGAAAUGGGCUACAUUCCCUAAUUAAGGGCAUACGAAAUAUAUAAUGAAAAAAGUAUCAGAAGGAGGAUUUAGCAGUAAGCAGAAAAUAGAGUGUUCUACUGAAACUGGCCCUGAAGCGCGCACACACCGCCC
rnacentral:rRNA from 1 species